rnacentral:rRNA from 1 species
UCAAGUCUUUAAGAGCAAACGGUGGAUGCCUUGGCAUCUGGAGCCGAAGAAGGACGUAGCAAUCUGCGAUAAGCCUCGGGGAGUGGAUAAGCACACUGUGAUCCGAGGGUGUCCGAAUGGGGAAACCCCGCUGGGCGGCGUGCCGACCCAGUGACUCCCGCCUGAAUAUAUAGGGCGGGUAGAGGGAACGUGGGGAAGUGAAACAUCUCAGUACCCACAGGAAGAGAAAGCAACCGCGAUUCCGUUAGUAGUGGCGAGCGAAACCGGAACAGGCUAAACCGAGUACGUGUGAUAUCCGGCAGGAGUUGCGUAUUCGGGGUUGUGGGACUUUUCUGGUUGUUCUGCCGAGCAGCCGGCGUUACAAGAAGGUAUAGACGAACUGGAUUGAAAGCCAGGUCAUAGAGGGUGCCAACCCCGUAGUCGAAAUGCCUCUCUUGGCGCGAAGAGUAUCCCAAGUAGCACGGGGCCCGAGAAAUCCCGUGUGAAUCUGUCAGGACCACCUGAUAAGCCUAAAUACUCCCAGAUGACCGAUAGCGGACAAGUACCGUGAGGGAAAGGUGAAAAGUACCCCGGGAGGGGAGUGAAAUAGUACCUGAAACCGUUUGCUUACAAACCGUUGGAGCCUCCUUAGUAGGGGUGACAGCGUGCCUUUUGAAGAAUGAGCCUGCGAGUUAGCGAUACGUGGCGAGGUUAACCCGUGUGGGGUAGCCGUAGCGAAAGCGAGUCUGAAUAGGGCGAUUCAGUCGCGUGUCCUAGACCCGAAGCGAAGUGAUCUAUCCAUGGCCAGGCUGAAGCGACGGUAAGACGUCGUGGAGGGCCGAACCCACUUAGGUUGAAAACUGAGGGGAUGAGCUGUGGAUAGGGGUGAAAGGCCAAUCAAACUUCGUGAUAGCUGGUUCUCUCCGAAAUGCAUUUAGGUGCAGCGUUGCGUGUUUCUUGCCGGAGGUAGAGCUACUGGAUGGCCGAUGGGCCCUACAAGGUUACUGACGUCAGCCAAACUCCGAAUGCCGGUAAGUGAGAGCGCAGCAGUGAGACUGUGGGGGAUAAGCUUCAUAGUCGAGAGGGAAACAACCCAGACCACCAACUAAGGUCCCAAAGCGCGUGCUAAGUGGGAAAGGAUGUGGAGUUGCUCUGACAACCAGGAGGUUGGCUUAGAAGCAGCCACCCUUGAAAGAGUGCGUAAUAGCUCACUGGUCAAGUGAUUCCGCGCCGACAAUGUAACGGGGCUCAAGCACGCCACCGAAGUUGUGGCAUUGACAUUAUUGGUAGGCCUUCGUGGUCCAGCCGUGUUGAUGGGUAGGAGAGCGUCGUGUGGCCAGCGAAGCGGCGGUGUGAACCAGCCGUGGAGGCCACACGAGUGAGAAUGCAGGCAUGAGUAGCGAAAGACGUGUGAGAAACACGUCCUCCGAAAGACCAAGGGUUCCAGGGUCAAGCUAAUCUUCCCUGGGUAAGUCGGGACCUAAGGCGAGGCCGACAGGCGUAGUCGAUGGACAACGGGUUGAUAUUCCCGUACCGGCGAAGAACCGCCCAAACUAAUCCAGUGGUGCUAAGUGCCCGAAUUCCUUUGUAUCGAUCCCUUCGGGGUGAGAGCGUUGGAGCUAGCGCAUGACCCCAUGCUGGUGCGGUUAGCGUAUUAACACAGGUGUGACGCAGGAAGGUAGCCCAACCCGGGCGAUGGUUGUCCCGGGGCAAGUGCGUAGGCCGAGUCAUAGGCAAAUCCGUGACUCUUACAGGCUGAGACACGAUGCGGAUAAAAAGUGGGUGAUCCUCUGCUGCCAAGAAAAGCAUCGACGCGAGGUUCUAGCUGCCCGUACCCCAAACCGACUCAGGUGGUCAGGUAGAGAAUACCAAGGAGAUCGAGAGAAUCGUGGUUAAGGAACUCGGCAAAAUGCCCCCGUAACUUCGGGAGAAGGGGGGCCAUCCACUUAUAUGAGCUUGCCUCAAAAAGGGUGUGGUGGCCGCAGAGACUAGUGGGUAGCGACUGUUUAUUAAAAACACAGGUCCGUGCCAAGUCGCAAGACGAUGUAUACGGACUGACGCCUGCCCGGUGCUGGAAGGUUAAGAGGACCGGUUAGCCGUAAGGCGAAGCUGAGAAUUUAAGCCCCAGUAAACGGCGGUGGUAACUAUAACCAUCCUAAGGUAGCGAAAUUCCUUGUCGGGUAAGUUCCGACCUGCACGAAUGGCGUAACGACUUCCCAACUGUCUCAACCGCGAACUCGGCGAAAUUGCACUACGAGUAAAGAUGCUCGUUACGCGCAGCAGGACGGAAAGACCCCGUGACCUUUACUACAGCUUGGUAUUGGUGUUCGGUGUGGCUUGUGUAGGAUAGGUGGGAGACUUUGAAGCGGUGACGCCAGUUACCGUGGAGUCAUUGUUGAAAUACCACUCUGGUCACUCUGGAUAUCUAACUCGAACC